GACGAACGCUGGCGGCGUGCCUAAUACAUGCAAGUAGAACGCUGAAGGAGGAGCUUGCUCUUCUGGAUGAGUUGCGAACGGGUGAGUAACGCGUAGGUAACCUGCCUGGUAGCGGGGGAUAACUAUUGGAAACGAUAGCUAAUACCGCAUAACAGUAGAUGUUGCAUGACAUUUGCUUAAAAGGUGCAAUUGCACCACUACCAGAUGGACCUGCGUUGUAUUAGCUAGUUGGUGGGGUAACGGCUCACCAAGGCGACGAUACAUAGCCGACCUGAGAGGGGGAUCGGCCAGACUGGGAGUGAGACACGGCCCAGACUCCUACGGGAGGCAGCAGUAGGGAAUCUUAGGCAAUGGAGGGGAGUCUGACCGAGCAACGCCGCGUGAGUGAAGAAGGUGUUCGGAUCGUAAAGCUAUGUUGUAAGAGAAGAACGAGUGUGAGAGUGGAAAGUUCAAACUGUGACGGUAUCUUACCAGAAAGGGACGGCUAACUACGUG
rnacentral:rRNA from 1 species